AACGAACGCUGGCGGCAGGCCUAACACAUGCAAGUCGAGCGAGGACUUCGGUCCUAGCGGCGGACGGGUGAGUAACGCGUGGGAACGUGCCCUUUGCUUCGGAAUAGCCCUGGGAAACUGGGAGUAAUACCGGAUGAGCCCUUUGGGGGAAAGAUUUAUCGGCGAAGGAUCGGCCCGCGUUGGAUUAGGUAGUUGGUGGGGUAAUGGCCUACCAAGCCGACGAUCCAUAGCUGGUUUGAGAGGAUGAUCAGUCACACUGGGACUGAGACACGGCCCAGACUCCUACGGGAGGCAGCAGUGGGGAAUCUUAGACAAUGGGGGAAACCCUGAUCUAGCCAUGCCGCGUGAGCGAUGAAGGCCUUAGGGUUGUAAAGCUCUUUCAGCUGGGAAGAUAAUGACGGUACCAGCAGAAGAAGCCCCGGCUAACUCCGUG
rnacentral:rRNA from 1 species